GAGGGGAACCCGAUUCAGGCCGCUGAGGGGAACCCGAUUCAGGCCGCUGAGGAGAACAAGAUUCGCCUCAGCAGAGAUGGAAAGAUAACUGAAAAUAACCAGAAUCAGUUCACUAGUCCAAGUGAAAUGGAUCCAGUUGUCAACAGUGGAAAGUGUCAAAAUCAUCGCCUUGUGUGCACAAGAGUAUCCUCCUUGGACAAGUGCAUUCAGUGCAUAGGACCUGUAUCCUCCUUCAAGUGGCUUGGCUAUAAAUGCAAAGUUUGUUCAGGCAUCUGGCAUAAAUCCUGCCUCAGACAAAUUACGAAUGAGAACUUCCACCACCUGUCACAGGAGCAACAGCUUUCUAAGGCUACAUCCACACGACAACGGCAACGAGAUUUUUUUUUUUUUAAUAUCGCGUCCACAUGGGCAACAGAUCAGUAAAAUUUCAGACGAAAUUCCAUUCAGUGACACUGACGCCAAGGAAGUGAGAGCGAAUCCGAUGACAGUGGCACAGCAUUCACGGCAUCAGAGUGUGGGACUAGUGAACCUGUGGAUGCUCCCUCACACUCUAUCACAGAGCAAGUCCAUGACAUGAGU